rnacentral:rRNA from 1 species
UUUAAAUGAAGACCAGAACAAAAGAUUAAACGUUUAAAUUAAUAUCUAUAUUUAAAUAAUCUAAUUUAUCUUAAAUGUAAAAAGACAUUUAUUAAAAAGAAAGACGACAAGACCCUAUUGAACUUAACUUAAGUUUAACUGGGGCAGUUAAUUAAUAAUAAUUUUAAUUUCAAAAAUUAAAUAAAUAAUCCAAUAUUAUUGAAACGAUCAAGUUACCAUAGGGAUAACAGCGUAAUAAUUUUCUAAAGCUCUUAUAAAAACAAUAGUUUGCGACCUCGAUGUUGAAUUAAUUACCUAAUCAGAGCAAAAGCUGAUCAAGGAAGUCUGUUCGACUUUUAAAAAAUUACAUGAUUUGAGUUCAGACCGGUAUAAGCCAGGUCGGUUUCUAUCUUCUAUUUAAUCCUUACAGUACGAAAGGGCCCAAGGAACUAAUUAAAUUAAACUAAUUGGCAGAAAAAUGCAUUAGAAUUAGAAUCUAAUAAAACUAAUAUACCAUUUAUCAUAUCAUACCUAAUCAUCAUUAUCAGA